CCACCUUAUACCCUAAGUCGGUCAUGAUGUGCUGCUUGAAAUUUUUUCAAUAGAUUGCUCCACCAUUUAGAACCCGAUACACUCUUGCUGUCAUCAUGGUCUGACCAAAAAUUGGAGUCUAUAAAUCUCAUAAAUUUCAAGUUAAAUUUUUCAUAGACGAGCCACUGGAGCUUAGUAUUUCUCAAAUACUUAAGGAUGGUCUUUAUAACCUUUCAGUAGUUCUCCCCU
rnacentral:lncRNA from 1 species